rnacentral:rRNA from 1 species
UGGGGGAUAUUGCACAAUGGGGGAAACCCUGAUGCAGCGACGCCGCGUGAGUGAAGAAGUAUUUCGGUAUGUAAAGCUCUAUCGGCAGGGAAGAAAAAGCGCGCGAGCGCCCUUGACAGUACCUGACUAAGAAGCCCCGGCUAACUACGUGCCAGCAGCCGCGGUAAUACGUAGGGGGCAAGCGUUAUCCGGAUUUACUGGGUGUAAAGGGAGCGUAGGCGGCCAUGCAAGUCAGAAGUGAAAACCCGGGGCUCAACCCUGGGAGUGCUUUUGAAACUGUGCGGCUAGAGUGUCGGAGGGGUAAGUGGAAUUCCUAGUGUAGCGGUGAAAUGCGUAGAUAUUAGGAGGAACACCAGUGGCGAAGGCGGCUUACUGGACGAUGACUGACGCUGAGGCUCGAAAGCGUGGGGAGCAAACAGG